UACGGAGGGUGCAAGCGUUAUCCGGAUUCACUGGGUUUAAAGGGUGCGUAGGCGGCCAGGUAAGUCAGUGGUGAAAUCUCUGGGCUUAACUCAGAAACUGCCGUUGAUACUAUUUGUCUUGAAUGUCAUGGAGGUAAGCGGAAUAUGUCAUGUAGCGGUGAAAUGCUUAGAUAUGACAUAGAACACCGAUAGCGAAGGCAGCUUACUACAUGAAGAUUGACGCUGAGGCACGAAAGCGUGGGGAGCAAACAGG
rnacentral:rRNA from 1 species